AUUGAACGCUGGCGGCAUGCUUUACACAUGCAAGUCGAACGGUAACAGGCCUUCGGGUGCUGACGAGUGGCGCACGAGUGAGUAAUGCAUCGGAACGUGCCCAGAGGUGGGGGAUAACGCAGCGAAAGCUGUGCUAAUACCGCAUGUGAUCUGAGGAUGAAAGCGGGGGACCAAGCAGCAAUGUUUGGCCUCGCGCCUCUGGAGCGGCCGACGUCAGAUUAGGUAGUUGGUGGGGUAAAGGCCUACCAAGCCGACGAUCUGUAGCUGGUCUGAGAGGACGACCAGCCACACUGGGACUGAGACACGGCCCAGACUCCUACGGGAGGCAGCAGUGGGGAAUUUUGGACAAUGGGCGCAAGCCUGAUCCAGCAAUGCCGCGUGCGGGAAGAAGGCCUUCGGGUUGUAAACCGCUUUUGUACGGAACGAAAAGGCUCUGGCUAAUACCUGGGGCUGAUGACGGUACCGUAAGAAUAAGCACCGGCUAACUACGUG
rnacentral:rRNA from 1 species